CGCGGGAUGGAAGAGCGGUACUUCGCCGGUCUCAUCAGCCGGAGGCGCGGGUUCGAUUCCCGCUCCCGCAC
rnacentral:tRNA from 2 species